CCUACGGUAGGCUGCAGUGGGGAAUAUUGCACAAUGGGGGGAACCCUGAUGCAGCGACGCCGCGUGAGUGAAGAAGUAUUUCGGUAUGUAAAGCUCUAUCAGCAGGGAAGAAAAUGACGGUACCUGACUAAGAAGCCCCGGCUAACUACGUGCCAGCAGCCGCGGUAAUACGUAGGGGGCAAGCGUGAUCCGGAUUUACUGGGUGUAAAGGGAGCGUAGACGGUUAUGCAAGUCUGAAGUGAAAGCCCAGGGCUCAACCAUGGGACUGCUUUGGAAACUGUAAAACUGGAGUGCAGGAGAGGUAAGCGGAAUUCCUAGUGUAGCGGUGAAAUGCGUAGAUAUUAGGAGGAACACCAGUGGCGAAGGCGGCUUACUGGACUGUAACUGACGUUGAGGCUCGAAGGCGUGGGGAGCAAACAGGAUUAGAUACCCCUGUAGUC
rnacentral:rRNA from 1 species